ACAGGCAAUUCGGUGCAUUCCCUGAAUUCAUUCCCUUCCGGUUCUUGAAUUGAGAGAUUACUGUAAUUACGUAACGCGACGCGUAGGUCAACUUUUUACUACAUGGCGCAUUCUUACCACUUCGGUGUUCGGUUUUCAGUAAGAGUGGGAGGUUUGUGGACGAUCAUUUCGGGGGAAGUGCAGACUCAAGGGACGCCCCUAUGACGCCGGCAAAUGGAAACACAAACACUGACCUACCAUAUCACUUCAAUAAUUCCCAAAGAGUUCGAUCAAGCUGAAGUCGAUUGGGAAAAAUUCGAAAAGCAUUAGGCUUGCUAAAAGUGUGAGCAGCGUCCUUGAAAUAUGCACUUCAAAUUUUUGUGGCAUUUUUUGUAUGAGUAACAAGUAGGUAAUAAAUUUUAUUUUUUGUACAGUAACAUAUAGUCGGGUAAGAUUCAUUAUAAAAACAAGCUUGUUACAACUUUGACCAGUUUAAUAUAAUUGUACCAAUCAGAAUUUACUAUACAAUGUUUUUUGACUAGCGACUAACAAUACAAUAGAGCUACUUACAUACAGUGUACAUAUACGAUGAUGACUAGUAUGUAUGUAUACAUAUAUGUAAUUCCUCUGUCGGGUGGGAAACGUAUACUCGCAUAUGCAUGGAACCACACGCGUUCAAACUCAUACAUACCCGGAUUCAACAUUGUUUAUUCGAACAUUCCCUCGGAUCGUUUUUCCUAAUCUCUAUCUAUUAUACAUCUCUACGGAUAAUUAAUACUCUUCAAUGUCUUCUGCUUUUUUUGUACACUCCUAUAUGUAUAUACAAUCCAGGAUCAAACACUAACAGGAUACGAAUACUAAUACACAGUGUCACAAAAUUAGCAGUGGCCUUCUCAUUCGUAGCACUUAAGAGGACAUUAAGAAAAUACAAUCUGAUGUACCCUUAAUGCAACAGUAUUUUCUGACAGUCUCUUGGGAAGUCUUGUAAUCGUUACAACUAUGUAAACAAACUAAUCAAUUCGAUCUGCCUGUUUCUCUUGCCUUCUGUAAUAUCCAGGAGUCCAUUCUAGUAUAACAACUUCUCGACGACAUUGUCAAUUAAUUUAUUCUAAGUUAUAGCAGCUCAACAUGUUGGUGCCUGUGUUCUAAUCCAUUCAGAAUUUCAAGAUCCAUGUCCUUGAACUCUUUCGACUACAAAGACAAGAAUCAUUGCUAGGAAUGGACUUUUCAAUCCCAAUUGGCCUUGUUCAAAAUUUCCAAUCCCAUGAUGUAUAUCUUCUAUUAUUCCUAAGCUGUUCCCAGCAAUGCUCUGUACUUGCAAAUCUUAAAGCUUCGAUUGUAAGGAGGCAAGAAAAGGUGUUGUGCUGGCCACUGAGCAACAGCAGUUGUGUUGAUCUUAUACUAAUUUUUUAGAAAGGCUUUUGUCAUCUGAUCUCUGCUUUUUGUAAGAAAGAAUUAUGUAAACUAACAUUUAACAGUUUUGUAAUAUCGUUAAAAAAUAAGUCAAGUAUAUAUAAAAAAUUAUAUUAUAUUAGGAAUGUAGUAAAUCUAUUUUUAUAUUGAUAAAUAAAUUGAAAAAUUCUUUCGUUAUUUAAUACAUGUUUUUUUAAUAGAGAGCAUCACUCUUCUAGUUUGUAAAAUGCAUCGUAAUAAAAUACACAAUAAAAUGUA